CCUACGGGAGGCAGCAGUGAGGAAUAUUGGUCAAUGGGCGAGAGCCUGAACCAGCCAAGUCGCGUGAAGGAUGAAGGAUCUAUGGUUUGUAAACUUCUUUUAUAUGGGAAUAAAGUGAGGAUCGUGUUCCUUUUUGUAUGUACCAUAUGAAUAAGCAUCGGCUAACUCCGUGCCAGCAGCCGCGGUAAUACGGAGGAUGCGAGCGUUAUCCGGAUUUAUUGGGUUUAAAGGGUGCGUAGGUGGUUAAUUAAGUCAGCGGUGAAAGUUUGUGGCUCAAACAUAAAAUUGCCGUUGAAACUGGUUGACUUGAGUAUAUUUGAGGUAGGCGGAAUGCGUGGUGUAGCGGUGAAAUGCUUAGAUAUCACGAAGAACUCCGAUUGCGAAGGCAGCCUGCUGGACUGUAACUGACGCUGAUGCUCGAAAGUGUGGGUAUCAAACAGGAUUAGAUACCCCAGUAGUC
rnacentral:rRNA from 1 species